rnacentral:rRNA from 1 species
GGAAAGAAAACUUUCUGCCCUAAUACGGCGGGAGGAUGACGGUACCGGAAGAAUAAGCACCGGCUAACUACGUGCCAGCAGCCGCGGUAAUACGUAGGGUGCGAGCGUUAMUCGGAAUUACUGGGCGUAAAGCGUGCGCAGGCGGUUCGUUAAGACAGAUGUGAAAUCCCCGGGCUUAACCUGGGAACUGCAUUUGUGACUGGCGAGCUAGAGUAUGGCAGAGGGGGGUAGAAUUCCACGUGUAGCAGUGAAAUGCGUAGAGAUGUGGAGGAAUACCGAUGGCGAAGGCAGCCCCCUGGGCCAAUACUGACGCUCAUGCACGAAAGCGUGGGGAGCAAACAGGAUUAGAUACCCUGGUAGUCCRCGCCCUAAACGAUGUCAACUAGUUGUUGGGUCUUCAUUGACUUAGUAACGUAGCUAACGCGUGAAGUUGACCGCCUGGGGAGUACGGUCGCAAGAUUAAAACUCAAAGGAAUUGACGGGGACCCGCACAAGCGGUGGAUGAUGUGGAUUAAUUCGAUGCAACGCGAAAAACCUUACCUACCCUUGACAUGGUCGGAACCCUGCUGAAAGGUGGGGGUGCUCGRAAGAGAACCGAUACACAGGUGCUGCAUGGCUGUCGUCAGC